rnacentral:rRNA from 1 species
GACAGAGGUGCCAAGCGUUAGGCGGAAUCACUGGGCUUAAAGCGUGUGUAGGCGGGCCUGUAAGUACCUUGUGAAAUCCCCCGGCUCAACCGGGGAACGGCUGGGUAUACUGCGGGCCUUGAGCCACUCAGGGGCGAGCGGAACAAAUGGUGGAGCGGUGAAAUGCGUAGAUAUCAUUUGGAACGCCAACGGUGAAAACAGCUCGCUGUGGGUGUGCUGACGCUGAGACACGAAAGCCAGGGGAGCGAACGGG